AUGAACGCUGGCGGCGUGCCUAAUACAUGCAAGUCGAGCGAACAGACGAGGAGCUUGCUCCUCUGACGUUAGCGGCGGACGGGUGAGUAACACGUGGAUAACCUACCUAUAAGACUGGGAUAACUUCGGGAAACCGGAGCUAGUACCGGAUAAUAUAUUGAACCGCAUGGUUCAAUAGUGAAAGACGGUUUUGCUGUCACUUAUAGAUGGAUCCGCGCCGCAUUAGCUAGUUGGUAAGGUAACGGCUUACCAAGGCGACGAUGCGUAGCCGACCUGAGAGGGUGAUCGGCCACACUGGAACUGAGACACGGUCCAGACUCCUACGGGAGGCAGCAGUAGGGAAUCUUCCGCAAUGGGCGAAAGCCUGACGGAGCAACGCCGCGUGAGUGAUGAAGGUCUUCGGAUCGUAAAACUCUGUUAUUAGGGAAGAACAAAUGUGUAAGUAACUAUGCACGUCUUGACGGUACCUAAUCAGAAAGCCACGGCUAACUACGUG
rnacentral:rRNA from 1 species